rnacentral:lncRNA from 1 species
CUUGUCCUUUUGGCUAAAUAAGAAGAAAAAAAAAGAAAAUUCUUUGAGAAAUUCUAUUGGGUUCAAGGUGAAUUUCUUAACUUAGUUUAUAUAUUUUGAUUCAUAUGUUUUAUGGCUUCAAGUUUGGGGAUUGAUUUUGAUUCAUAUGUUUUAUGGCUUCAAGUUUGGGGAUUGAGAGUUUAAGAAUAAGGAAUUCCAAGUGAUAGAGAAAUCUUUAAAUCUUCAUGAACGGAGCAAUA